AGUGAACGCUGGCGGUAGGCCUAACACAUGCAAGUCGAACGGCAGCACAGUAAGAGCUUGCUCUUACGGGUGGCGAGUGGCGGACGGGUGAGGAAUACAUCGGAAUCUACUUUUUCGUGGGGGAUAACGUAGGGAAACUUACGCUAAUACCGCAUACGACCUACGGGUGAAAGCAGGGGAUCUUCGGACCUUGCGCGAUUGAAUGAGCCGAUGUCGGAUUAGCUAGUUGGCGGGGUAAAGGCCCACCAAGGCGACGAUCCGUAGCUGGUCUGAGAGGAUGAUCAGCCACACUGGAACUGAGACGCGGUCCAGAGUCCUACGGGAGGCAGCAGUGGGGAAUAUUGGACAAUGGGCGCAAGCCUGAUCCAGCCAUACCGCGUGGGUGAAGAAGGCCUUCGGGUUGUAAAGCCCUUUUGUUGGGAAAGAAAAGCAGCAGGUUAAUACCCCGCUGUUCUGACGGUACCCAAAGAAUAAGCACCGGCUAACUUCGUG
rnacentral:rRNA from 1 species